GACGAACGCUGGCGGCGUGCUUAACACAUGCAAGUCGAACGGAAAGGCCUCUUUCGGGGGGUACUCGAGUGGCGAACGGGUGAGUAACACGUGAGUAACCUGCCCUUGACUUUGGGAUAACUUCAGGAAACUGGGGCUAAUACCGGAUAGGAGCUCCUGCUGCAUGGUGGGGGUUGGAAAGUUUCGGCGGUUGGGGAUGGACUCGCGGCUUAUCAGCUUGUUGGUGGGGUAGUGGCUUACCAAGGCUUUGACGGGUAGCCGGCCCGGGGGGGUGACCGGCCACAUUGGGACUGGGAUACGGCCCAGACGCCUACGGGGGGCAGCAGUGGGGAUGAUUGCACAAUGGGUGGAAGCCUGAUGCAGCAACGCCGGGUGCGGGAUGACGGCCUUCGGGUUGGAAACCGCUUUCGCUCAUGACGAAGCUUUGUGUGACGGUAGUGGGUAAAGAAGCACCGGCUAACUACGUG
rnacentral:rRNA from 1 species